rnacentral:misc_RNA from 1 species
UCCGGUUUGUCACCGGCAGUCUCCCUAGAGUGCCCUUGCGUAGCAACUAGGGACAAGGGUUGCGCUCGUUGCGGGACUUAACCCAACAUCUCACGACACGAGCUGACGACAGCCAUGCAGCACCUGUCUCCGGUCCAGCCGAACUGAAGGAGUGCGUCUCUGCGCUCCGCGACCGGGAUGUCAAGGGCUGGUAAGGUUCUGCGCGUUGCGUCGAAUUAAACCACAUGCUCCACCGCUUGUGCGGGCCCCCGUCAAUUCCUUUGAGUUUCAGUCUUGCGACCGUAGUUCCCAGGCGGAGUACUUAUUGCGUUAGCUACGGCACUGAAGGGGUCAAUACCUCCAACACCUAGUACUCAUCGUUUACGGGUAGGACUAC